CGCGUCGACGAGAAGCUUGCUUCUCUUGAGAGCGGCGGACGGGUGAGUAAUACCUAGGAAUCUGCCUGAUAGUGGGGGAUAACGUUCGGAAACGGACGCUAAUACCGCAUACGUCCUACGGGAGAAAGCAGGGGACCUUCGGGCCUUGCGCUAUCAGAUGAGCCUAGGUCGGAUUAGCUAGUUGGUGAGGUAAUGGCUCACCAAGGCUACGAUCCGUAACUGGUCUGAGAGGAUGAUCAGUCACACUGGAACUGAGACACG
rnacentral:rRNA from 1 species